rnacentral:rRNA from 1 species
GUGGGGAAUAUUGCACAAUGGGCGAAAGCCUGAUGCAGCAACGCCGCGUGAAGGAUGAAGGCCUUUGGGUCGUAAACUUCUGUCCUUGGGGAAGAAAAAAAUGACGGUACCCCUGGAGGAAGUCCCGGCUAACUACGUGCCAGCAGCCGCGGUAAUACGUAGGGGGCGAGCGUUAUCCGGCAUUAUUGGGCGUAAAGAGUACGUAGGUGGUUUUUUAAGCGCAGGGUUUAAGGCGAUGGCUCAACUGUCGUUCGCCGUGUGAACUGGAAGACUUGAGUACAGGAGAGGAAAGCGGAAUUCCUAGUGUAGCGGUGAAAUGCAUAGAUAUUAGGAGGAACACCAGUGGCGAAGGCGGCUUUCUGGACUGUAACUGACACUGAGGUACGAGAGCGUGGGGAGCAAACAGGAUUAGAAGCCCCAGUAGUCC